rnacentral:ncRNA from 2 species
AGACGAGGCUAGGGGUGCCCACCGGAGUCACCGAUUGGGCUGAGAAAUACCCUUGGAACCUGAACCGGAUCAUACCGGCGGAGGGAAGCUUCGGAGCCAUUGC